GACGAACGCUGGCGGCGUGCCUAAUACAUGCAAGUCGAGCGAAGUUUUUCCGGUGCUUGCACCGGAAAAACUUAGCGGCGAACGGGUGAGUAACACGUAAAGAACCUGCCUCAUAGACUGGGACAACUAUUGGAAACGAUAGCUAAUACCGGAUAAUAGCAUUAACUGCAUGGUUGAUGUUUAAAAGUUGGUUUUGCUAACACUAUGAGAUGGCUUUGUGGUGCAUUAGCUAGUUGGUGGGGUAAAGGCCUACCAAGGCGACGAUGCAUAGCCGACCUGAGAGGGUGAUCGGCCACACUGGGACUGAGACACGGCCCAGACUCCUACGGGAGGCAGCAGUAGGGAAUCUUCCGCAAUGGGCGAAAGCCUGACGGAGCAACGCCGCGUGAGUGAAGAAGGAUUUCGGUUCGUAAAGCUCUGUUGUUAGGGAAGAAUGAUUGUGUAGUAACUAUACACAGUAGAGACGGUACCUAACCAGAAAGCCACGGCUAACUACGUG
rnacentral:rRNA from 1 species